UGGCUGUUCCUAAUGGUUCCCUUGGUCACCUCUUCUUCCUGUCCUAUAUUAUCCUGUGUUUCAUUAAGUAAGUUUCACACUUAAGCGCCCCAAGUGUAUGCAUAUUUUUAUUCUCUUCAGCAGGAGCCAUAAUUCUCAACCGAUUCUCAAAUGGGGACUCUACCUCCC